rnacentral:rRNA from 1 species
CCUACGGGUGGCUGCAGUGGGGGAUAUUGCACAAUGGAGGAAACUCUGAUGCAGCGACGCCGCGUGAGGGAAGCCGGUCUUCGGAUUGUACACUUCUGUCUUUGGGGAAGAAAAUGACGGUUCCCAACGAGUAAGCUCCGGCGACCUACAUGCAAGCAGCCGUGGUAAUCAGUAGGGAGCGAGCGUUGUCCGGAAUUACUGGGUGUUAAGGGUGCGUAGGGGGGGGAGAAAGUUGAAUGUUAAAUCUACAGGCUUAAAUGGUAGCGGAGUUCAACACUUCUUGUCUUGAGUGAAGUAGAGGCAGGCGGAAUUCCUAGUGUAGCUGUGAAAUGCGUAGAGAUUAGGAGGAACACCAGUGGCGAAGGCGGCCUGCUGGGCUUUAACUGACGCUGAGGCUCGAAAGCGUGGGGAGCAAACAGGAUUAGAUACCCCAGUAGUC